GACGUUGAAACACCGGUUCUCAUACGAUCACGGAAGUUAAGCAACGUCGAGCCUUGUCAGUACGUAGAUGAGUGACCAGGU